AGAGGAAAAGGAGGAGGGGGAGCAUGGGGGACAAGUGACCAGGGGAUUCAGUGGCACAGUGAGCCAAGACCUGUUUUUUACUCCAGACAGUUGAACCAGUCGCUAUAGUCCAGCAUGGGUGAGCCUGAUGCAGGAGAAGGAACCUCUGCUGGAGAUGUGGCCUUGAGGGUGUCUCUAUCCACACCAGUGGAGCAGCUCAGCCAGACAGGGAGGAGAAGGUAGAGGACAUGGGUUGGCAUGUUCCAAGAGAUCUUGCAAGUCUCUGGUGCUUUGUAUACUGAGCACAGGGCCUGUAGGAUCACACUCGCAGAAAGAAUGGACAGGGAUAGAGUGGAGAAGAGAAAAGCACAGGAAAAGGAGAGAGAUGUGCAGCAAGAGAUACUAGUGCUUCUCAAGCAGCAAACAGACAUUCUGUUGACCUUCACGUUCAACAGACCUGCAUUUGCCUUCCUUUGCAGCCUAUAGAGAACUGCAUUCUUGGACCUCCCUACACACCCACAUUCCACGUGAUAUCCAUGGCUGUGGCACUACCCCUACCACUCCACCCCAAGGAGAGUACAGAUAAUCAUAGCCACCUGUACUGAACCUGUGAGAGACAUGGUUGGUGUAUAUGUUUGUGAAAUAAAUAUAAUUGUUCUUUCCCGUG